AAUCAACGCUGGCGGCGUGCCUAACACAUGCAAGUCGAACGAGAAAGGUAGCAAUACCUGAGUAAAGUGGCGCACGGGUGAGUAACACGUGACUAACCUACCCUGGAGUGGGGAUAACUGAGGGAAACCUUAGCUAAUACCGCAUAACACCUACGGGUCAAAGGAGCAAUUCGCUUCAGGAGGGGGUCGCGGCCGAUUAG
rnacentral:rRNA from 1 species